AGUCAGCUGGUGGAGGAGAGGAAGCGGGAGGAGGGUGCGCGCGCGAGGGGAGGAGAGGAAUGUGCAGGUCCGAGGAGCGCCGCGGCGGCCGCUGCUGCUCCUGCUGCUGGCGGCGGCGGCGGCUCGAGCGGCAGCCGCGGGGCUGGAACAGCGAGGAGCGCGGGCGGCUGGCAGGGGCGCGCGCGGGGCGCCGCGAGCAGCUUGGCUCCGCGCAGGCAGCCAGGCGGCGCUCCUGCCGGCCCCAGGCGCGCCGCUAGCCCGGCCCAGCGCCCAGCCCGGCGGGCGGCGGCGGGCGAGCCGGCGCAGGAGCAGGAGGAGGGGGAGCCGCGCCGCCAGGGAGGGAAGCCGGGGCGAGGCGAGGAGGUGGCGGGAGGAGGAGACAGCGGGGAAAGGUGUCAGAUAAAGGAGGGCUCUCCUCCGGUUUGGAGUCAUCAUGGCCGCUAAGUCAGACGGGAGGCUGAAAAUGAAGAAGAGCAGCGACGUGGCGUUCACCCCGCUGCAGAACUCGGACCACUCGGGCUCGGUGCAAGGAUUGGCUCCGGGCUUGCCGUCGGGGUCGGGAGCCGAGGACGAGGAGGCGGCCGGGGGCGGCUGCUGCCCGGACGGCGGCGGCUGCUCGCGCUGCUGCUGCUGCUGCGCUGGGAGCGGCGGCUCGGGCGGCGGCUCCGGGGGCUUGGGCGGCCCGGGCGGCGGCGUUGGCGGCCCGGGCAGCAGCGGGGCGGGUUCGGCGGCGCUGUGCCUGCGCCUGGGCAGGGAGCAGCGGCGCUACUCGCUGUGGGACUGCCUCUGGAUCCUGGCCGCCGUGGCCGUGUACUUCGCGGACGUGGGCACGGACAUCUGGCUUGCCGUGGACUACUACUUGCGCGGCCAGCGCUGGUGGUUCGGGCUCACGCUCUUCUUCGUGGUGCUCGGCUCGCUCUCCGUUCAAGUGUUCAGCUUCCGCUGGUUUGUGCACGAUUUCAGCACCGAGGACAGCGCCACAACCGCAGCUGCCUCCAGCUGCCCGCAGCCUGGAGCCGAUUGCAAGACGGUGGCCAGCAGUGGGUCUGCAGCCGCGGAAGGCGAGGCUCGUCCUUCCACGCCGCAAAGGCAAGCAUCUAACGCCAGUAAGAGCAACAUCGCCGCCACCAACAGCGGCAGCAACAGUAGCGGGGCCACCCGGGCCAGCGGCAAACACAGGUCCGCGUCCUGCUCCUUCUGCAUCUGGCUCCUGCAGUCACUCAUCCAUAUCUUGCAGCUCGGGCAAAUCUGGAGAUAUUUCCACACAAUCUACUUAGGUAUUCGAAGUCGACAGAGUGGGGAGAAUGACAGAUGGAGGUUUUACUGGAAAAUGGUGUAUGAGUAUGCAGAUGUGAGUAUGCUGCAUUUGCUAGCCACCUUUCUGGAAAGUGCUCCACAGCUGGUCCUGCAGCUCUGCAUUAUCGUACAGACUCAUAGCUUACAGGCCCUCCAAGGUUUCACAGCAGCAGCCUCCCUUGUGUCUUUGGCUUGGGCCUUGGCCUCCUACCAAAAGGCCCUCCGGGACUCUCGAGACGACAAGAAGCCUAUCAGCUACAUGGCUGUUGUCAUCCAGUUCUGCUGGCACUUCUUUACCAUUGCCGCCAGAGUCAUCACCUUCGCCCUCUUUGCCUCGGUUUUCCAGCUGUACUUUGGGAUCUUCAUCGUUCUCCACUGGUGCAUCAUGACCUUCUGGAUCGUCCACUGUGAGACAGAAUUCUGCAUCACCAAAUGGGAAGAGAUUGUGUUCGACAUGGUGGUGGGGAUCAUCUACAUCUUCAGCUGGUUCAACGUCAAGGAAGGCAGGACACGCUGCAGGCUCUUCAUUUACUAUUUUGUGAUCCUGUUGGAAAAUACAGCCUUGAGUGCCCUCUGGUACCUCUACAAGGCUCCCCAGAUUGCAGAUGCAUUUGCCAUCCCAGCGCUGUGUGUGGUAUUCAGCAGCUUUUUAACUGGAGUCGUUUUUAUGCUGAUGUACUAUGCCUUCUUUCACCCCAAUGGACCCCGAUUCGGGCAGUCACCAAGUUGUGCUUGUGAGGACCCAGUCGCUGCCUUCACUCUGCCUCCAGAAGUGGCCACGAGCACACUCCGGUCCAUCUCCAACAACCGCAGCGUCGCCAGCGACCGCGACCAGAAAUUCGCAGAGCGGGAUGGGUGCGUACCUGUCUUUCAGGUGAGGCCCACUGCCCCGUCCACACCAUCCUCUCGCCCACCACGGAUUGAAGAAUCUGUCAUUAAAAUUGACCUGUUCAGGAAUAGGUACCCGGCGUGGGAGAGACAUGUUUUGGACCGAAGCCUUCGAAAGGCCAUUCUAGCCUUUGAAUGUUCCCCGUCUCCUCCAAGGCUGCAGUACAAAGAUGAUGCCCUUAUUCAGGAGCGGUUGGAGUAUGAAACCACUUUAUAAAAUAGAAGGCCUCGGAGGAGCCACAACCUCCAGUGAAGGGGUAAUAGCAGGGCUGUGGCAAUAAUGAAACUCUGUCCUAGAAUAGGGCAACGGGCUGUAAUGUGCUUCGUCGGACCCUCCGUCAGCUGACCGCCUGCUGCUGGUCUCCUUUCAAAAGAGCAGCUGAAGGGAAAGAACCGAACCGAACUGUGCCUGCUCAGUAGGACUCCUUGCUACCAGCCCCUCCUGCCCACUUUUAGCGUGUCCACCAGAGGGUACCAUGAGCACGGAAAACAUUGCCUCCAAUCAAUAGGGUGUUUUGAUGGAGUUAACUGAUCUUUGCAUAAAAAUAUAUUCAGUCACACACGUACAUACACACACACAUACACACACAUGCUAACACACAUGGCACCAGUCCUCUGUCAAAAUAGCUUAGAUGAUUUCUUUUCUUGAUGCAAAGUUCUGAUUCUGAAUAUAAAAACAAAGAGAGAGAAUAUAUCCUUCAAGACUCCAGAAAAAAACAACAACAAAAAAAAUAGUACUACUUAGAAAAGAAUUUCAUAGACCAUUCUCAUUUGGAAACCACUACCAUGCGUGCAAAUCCUACCAUGGACAGCAAACUCAACUGUCGUUUACAUAUGUAUUCAAAUCAAUGGAAUGGUUCAUUUUCAACACAUUUCAGGAUUUGUUUUUUAUUUUAAAUUUCAGUCAAGAACAUCCUUUCUGACAGAAAUCCUAUGCAGCACAUCUAUGGCUUUCGACAAGACCAAGGAGCUCAGUGAUUUCGUGAUGUAAAUUAAAUGAUAAUCAUGAUUCAGUAUUCAGUUGCAAAAAUUUUAAUAAGUACAUGAAGAGGAAGCAGGGAAACAAGGCAAAAACGAGCAUCUGACUUCCCGGCCUGCCGCAGUUCACAUGGGCAAGGAGGUGCAGAGCGGCAGGAGAGAAACAUGCUGAACUGGGUGUUUCAAGAUACAGAAAAGCGUGGCUCUGUGUGACGGCUACAGAGCAUGCCAUGCCACACCCUCCUAGUGCCAAACACCAUCCCAUCACAGGACUGACGUGGAAGUCUCAAACACCCGAGAACGAGUAGCAUGAGCCCCCCAAACGUGGACGUGAGAGCACACCAUCACAUUCCCCAUUGUGUACAGACUACCCCCCCCAAUCCAAGGUCAAAGUGAUGUGUCUUUUAGAGGCUUUGGGACACUUUUUAAAACAUCUUGGAACUUGUCAAGCUUUACUGAAGGUGAUUUGCGUUAAUUAAUGCAACAGACCCUUUAAUCUUGCAAAUUCUUGACUUGUAAUAUUGUAGCCAAGCUACCGCCAGGGAAAAUUAAUCAGUUAGUGGGAAGGAGCCCUCGUUCCGUGCGGAGCUGUACCCAGGCCUGAAGAGAAAGAUCUCUGUGAAGUAGAGCACUAAUGAAUUCGUGCUACCUGCUUCCUCAUCAUUCAUGCUAUGAAUAUUCAUCUGCUUCAUUUGUUUUUGCCAGUAAGCACUGCUUUGAAAGAAAAAAAAAAUGUCAAUGGAUUCCUGGGGCUUGCAUAGCUCAGAGAAUAGGUACUGGGUCAUGGAGACUCCUUAAAUGAAUACAAAUCUACUUGUUUGGAAAUGAAAAAAAAAAAAAAUCAUUGUCAUCUCUUUAAUGAUUGAUCUGUCUGAGUACCGUGGCUGCCCUCACUUGGUUUCUUGAGAGUACUGUUGUCAGCAUUGUAAUAACAAAUUUAUGAAAAUUGAAUCUGUAAUUCCAUUUCAGAGGUAAAAUCUGCAUGGAUGUAACUGUUAAAUAAUUUGAUUCCCGCUUCUGGCAAUUAACCUUCGACAAUUGGGUGGUGACAUUGCCGGUUUCAAACUGAGGUACCUAAGUUUAUGGUAUUGGCCCUCCUGUUGUUUCUGAGACCUGACAAAAUGUCAGUUACAAACUCUGAGAUCAAGUAGAGAUUCUUAUUGCCUAAAUCUUCAUUCCGAAGUAAACAAAUAGUCUCAUAAUUUAAAAAAAUCAUGGUUCUUUCCCACUUCUCUGUUUUCCAAGAAAGAUUUGAGUUGCAAGAUAAGAAUGAAUAUACUUCACAUCAUUGUCUCAGAGUUUGCAAGCAUCAGGCAUCCCUAUGUUUUUAUAAAGUUUCUGUCUAACCUUUUAGUAGAACAAUUUCAGGAGUGAACCCUAGAUGAAUGAGUGAAAGUCAUCAGGUUUAUCCAAAAAGCAACCUAGCAGAAAAAUUUUAGAAAAGAAGCAGGGAUCCUUUUUCUUGGGUUUCAAAGAUGUUUCUCCUUGCUAAGUGACCAUCUUAGUGAUUUGAGAGCUACUGAAUGGUAGUCCCAGUUAGAAGUGUCAGUAUUGUGCUGCAUACUCUAUUCUGUCAAAGUCAUUUUUCAGAACUAACUCUUGGCACCAGCACUGAAAUUUAAUGGCAAAAACUGGCCUACUACCAUGUAAUUUAUUUUCAAUUGCAAGGCAAUGAAAACUAAUAAGUUGAAGAAAAUUUUAAUUUCCUGAACUCCAAAGCAAAAAUGGGCACAAAGACACUCUGUAACAUACAAUGAGCUGGUUGACUGUGGGGACGCAGGGGCAAUAAACAAUCCUCUUAAGCUCGGCUCAUGAGUGAGAGGCUAUAAGCUGUGUUUGGACAGAAGGUGAUUGAAGAGAAUGUCUACCAGUUGCUCAUCAGGAAUAUCUGCCUUUUUAUAGAGCAGAGGUUCAAAGUAGCCCCUGCCAUUCCCUAACUAUGAGGAUAGAUACAUCCAUAUAUGAAGGGCCAAGGCAGAAGACAGAGAAGAUAUCAGGCGCUUCAUGUCUGAGACUAACUCUGUCUUUAAGGAAACAGCUCUCCUUGGUCAUUGGCCCCUAUGCUGCUAGCUAGCUCUGCAUGCCAAGAACUUCUGAUGGACUACAAGAUGAGAUAUUUAAAGGUAUCGUAAGUAUUCCUGCUUGUAGAACAUGAACCACGGAGUUAGCCCUCCUUUUUAACAGCAACGAGAUUCAGGGUUACUAUGGCCUUACUCAUCAUCCCAUUGUAAAUAUAUCAUGACAUCACGAGAGCCUCUGUGUUCAAAUUCACUAAACCAGGUUUACAUGUCCUAGGUCUGUGUAUCUAUCUCCAGUUUGGAAAAAAUAAUUUUUUGAGAAUGAUCUUUAGAAUAAUGGAAGUGAAAAAAAAAAGUGGACAGUUGAGUAAUUUUUCACCAUCCACAAAACCACUAGAGUGCUGAUAGCCCUCAAGCUCUGAUUUUUUUCUUUUUUCUCAUGAAUAAGUUUCUUUUCACUUAGGGUCUUUCAACAUACAAAUGAUUGCUGAACCAUCUUCACUAAACUGAAGUAGACACUAUGGCGUUGUUAAAAAAUAAAGACUGUCCACAUGAAAGCAAAUAUCCAAUGAAAAGUGAAGUCACUCAAGCAGUAAAUUUGGUCUUUGUGACAUCAAACAUUUGAAUACUUAGGAAAAUCCAUGUGUUUGAAUGAUAGAAUUUUUCAUCUGGUUGUCUGGUGUUGUCUAGAUAGACAGAAAAUGCUCAGGUGUUGUAGGUAAUGAGAUUUAACUUUCUAGUGCAGUAAUCUAUUGCUGCUGAUAUUCUGCUGCUCAAAAUCUCUUUGUUAUGCAAAGAGGAAUAAAUAGUGCAGAGCAAAUGCUAUUUGAUUUUUAUUUACUUUUGGCAAACACAUGAAUGGAAAAGGUUUGGGAGGUUGUCCCGGAGGUAUUUAGAUGUGAUUAUGACACAGACCUCCUUCAGAAAGACCAUUCUGGAGGCCUGCCACUCUGCUUCUUCCUGCCAAGGAAACUUUUUAUUCAGUUCCUUUCCAUCCUUUCUAAUUCUAUAAUUGCCCCCCUGUUCUUCACGUAAUCUUCAUUGUUCCCAAAGUCUACUUGACAGAAUUGUUCAAGAGAAAUACAAGUUUGUUAACUUUUUAUUCUUCAAAUAGGAAGUUUUCAUUUUAAGGAUUACACCUUUCAAGCAGAAAAAUAAUGUAAAUGACUCAAUGCAGUUAUUUUAUGGUGCAUGUUUUGGUGUUGAUAGAAGUGAAAGCGUUUUUUGGUUUUGUUUUUUUUGUUGUUGUUCUUGUUUGAUUUGUUGAUGCCCUUUUGAUUGUCAAGGACUCACUGGUUAUACAUAUUGGAACCUUAGUGUUUCCUUUGUAGUCAUGGAAAAGAGAAAAAGAGAAAAUGUCAUCAAAGGGAAGUUCACUUUCCAGAAAGAAGGUUGGGAUAGUCAUGUGACUCUUGUAUUUGUGAUUAUCUGUGGACAUUUUCUUCCUUGUUUCAUCUGAUUGGGCUCUGGAUUGGUGAGUGUAUUUCCUCAAAUCGUGUGCUUACCCCAUUUACUGUUCUGAAGCUGGACAGAAACGCAGGCAAGUUAUUCAGACUGAUUUUAUUUUCUGUGAGCUUAUGUUGCAGAACUCACUCUGAGGCAUUAACUGUAAGCAGGCACACAGAAGGUAUGCAGCUAUGCAAAGGUCAUGAGAGGAUUUCCGGAGAAAAUCUAAAUAUUUGUUUUGUACAUUCUUAGGUAGUGUUUUGAUUGUGUCAAAUUCUCCAUUUCAGGGCCAACUUAGAAUGACUUCAUGGGGUAAGUUGUCCUCAUCCUUGUUGGCUCCCUCCUCCCAUUAGUUGCAGAAGUUUCCCUGAAAUCAAAGUGGGUGCUCCACCUUGUGUAACAAGGGCUUCUAGCCGCUAGGUGUCACUGCUCCGGGCUAACUGUGUGUUGUCAAUGCUCCUUUGGGUGCUCUUUUGGAUGCUCCUUUGGAUCGUUUGCUAGUCCCGCACCUGUGAAAGCCUUCCAGGCCAAGAGAGCUGCUACUCACAGAUGUACAUACCAACCUGAUUUGGCUCCGCUUUCCUUUUUCCUUGAGAUUUUUACUUCACUCAAUCCUCUUCCAAAUCUUUGUACCUUCAUGUUACCAACAGGAUAUUUAGUUCAAUGUUUCAGUCAGCUGGCAAUGAAGAGGCAACAAUCAAUUGGCAACUACAAAAACAUUAAGCACUUUGUUUCAGUUAUCUUUUAUUAUGUAGUCAUUGAAUAGAAUUAAUGGUUUAGUAGAAAACUAAAAAUCCCUGUGUUGAAUAUAAUGACUUUUUUAAAUAUACUGAAAUAUAUUCUCUGAAACAGUAUCCUUUUACACUAUGAAGUCUAUUCCUUUCUGGAGACAAGAACAUGGAGGGGCCCUGGUCCACCAGUGGAAACACAGGGGCCUGGAAGCUGAGUCACUGAAGUAUUCAUUCCUGGUUGGUCACUUCAGCCUCAGAAACUCCUCUUCAGCCUCUUUUGUUCCAUAUGUAAAAGAGAGAGAAUCUUUAUCUACCUACCUCAUAGUGGUGUUGUGAAGAUGAACUAAGUUGAUAAAGUGCUUUGACACUUGACAACUAGCAUCAGCACAAAGGAGGCCUAUGUGCAGCCCUGAAAAGGCUGUGGGGUGGGGGGUGGAGACAGCCUAGCAACACGACAGCAAUAAGUCACAAAGCAGAGAGUAUGAUUAUUCGUGGUCACUUCACAGAAGUGAAACCUUUUCUUCAAAGGUCUAUAGAAAACUUUUUUUUUAAUUAUCAGCUUUUUAAUGAGAAAAAUGAACUCAUUUCAUACAAACAUUGAGAAGCUUCAUAUAGAAUGGCAAUUUUCCUCUUAGCCAAACUGCAUUUUACUAAAUAUUUAUUAAAUAUAUCCAGAGGACUGGGCUCCUUCUGAUGCCUAAUCCCUGAUUCGCAUGCCUGAUCCCAACUUGCAUUUUCCAGAAUGCCUGCACAAUACCUGAGUUCAGGACUAAUGAUUGCCAAGGGGUGUUCUGGAAUCUGCUACCAGGAGGGAACAUUUUUAAUAGAUAU